GGAGGAAAAGAAACCAACAGGGAUUGCCUCAGUAACGGCGAGUGAAGCGGCAAAAGCUCAAAUUUGAAAUCCUUCGGGAGUUGUAAUUUGUAGGUUGGGAGACCCCGCGGCUAGUGGCACCAAGUCCCUUGGAACAGGGCGCCUUAGAGGGUGAGAGCCCCGUAGGUACCACAAUACCGUCUUGUGUCUCCUCUCCAAAGAGUCGAGUUGUUUGGGAAUGCAGCUCAAAGUGGGUGGUAAAUUCCAUCUAAAGCUAAAUACCGGCGAGAGACCGAUAGCGAACAAGUACAGUGAUGGAAAGAUGAAAAGCACUUUGAAAAGAGAGUGAAACAGUACGUGAAAUUGUUGAAAGGGAAGGGCUUGCAAGCAGACACGGCCUUCGUGCCGGGCCAGCAUCGGUUGCUAGGGGUGGAUAAGGAACAAGGAAUGUAGCUCCUCGGAGUAUUAUAGCCUUGCGCGAUACACCCACUGGCGACCGAGGCCUGCGGUAUUCUUUACCUAGGAUGCUGGCGUAAUGGUUGCAAGCCGCCCGUCU
rnacentral:rRNA from 1 species